UAGCUAGAUCUAUUGCGACGACUGCUUAAUACCUUCUCAAUAACAGGGUCUAAUGCAACGGAUAAGAGCUGGUCGUUGCAAUAGGGCUUUUUUUUUUCUUUUUUUGCAAUAGGGCUGUUUUAUACAAAACUCUUUACCUGGGCGCACUAAAAAAUCCCGCCUAAUUUUUCUCAAAAAUAAAAGUUUCACGCUUUUCUAAGAAAACCCGCCCUUCCUAUAAAAAAAACAAAAGAAAUCCGCCGAAUUUCCUUUUUUUUCUUUUUCAUGAAUAAUCAACAAGGCUACAAACCCGAUCCACCCAGCUUUCUCAAUCAAAUGGCUUUUUAUAAAAAAAAACCAAAACAGGUUCUUUUCUUCAAAUUUUCAAGUGGCAUCUUGAAUUUAAGGAGUGAGAUGUUAGAGGAAUGAUCUAGGAAUGGACCCCGCAAGCCGCAACCACCGCCAGCUAGCCAGAGUCGGAACUAAAUUGUCUGGUAGCCUUUCAUUUCAUUCUACUUAUCGUUGCCGCAGAUAAUAUGCUUGCUGAGGACGAUCUAUGUUUUUGAAUUUUGACGAGCGAUUUCUGUCUCCUUUGAUCUGACGGUGCCUCUUAUUACUUCCUGGUUUUCAGUUUUCCAAGUUGGGAUGACUUAUGUAUCAUGGAUUUGAUAUUAUAGUUGCUUACGUAGGCGUCCCAAUGAAGUCCUAGACCACACUUUGAAGCAAAAAGAGUGAGCUUUAAUUCUCGUAUGUUUAUAGAUUUAUUGCAAAGUUGUUUAUUUUUUUAUUGCUAUGUCUUAUUUGUUGGCAUGUUCUUUUCAAGGGGCAUUAUCUAGGGGCUCAUCCGUGGAGUGAAUGUCAGGAGGAUCAGCUAAUGUUGAUUAAUAUGAACUCAUUACUUGUCCUAAUAUUACUUCAAUUACCUCUUCUGGAGUUAAUGGACUGUGGUAUGUUUAUUUAUGAUCCUGACAUGGAUGAUGCUUCUAUAGAUGAAAGGAGUGAUAAGUGUUCACAGAAAAGUAGCAAGCUAAGCUGCAUCAUAUAUAUCCUGAAGCUUAUUAUCAAGCAGAAGAAACCUUACUUGUGGGGUUGUUCUGGCUUAGAUGGGAUUUAGAACCAUUGGAUAUGGUGUAAACAGUGCUACAGGUGGAAGAUGCUUCCAGAAUUGCUUUACUUGAGAAAUUUGAGAAGCAGGAGAAGAAAUGAUAAUGUGGUUCAAAGAAUUGCUGAAAAUAUUGUUUGGGGGACAAAAUGAUUUAAUUUUAACUUUUAAUUUUUUUUUCUUAAUUAGUUUAACUAGUGAUAAUUUAAUUUUGUAAUUUUCU